AGAUAGUAUAUGCAUCAGAGCCUUGAUGAGCAGAGGAUAUCCUCUGAGGGGCUACUUGAUUCACCCAGUUAGCAGAUCAACAACUUAUCCCAGAGUAUAGAUAUUUUGAAGAUAAGCCAGAUUGGAACAACUACAGAGGUUGAUUGGUUAACUACUGAGGUCGUCAAGGUUGCUAGAAGGGCUAAAGAGAUUAUUGUUUCUCAACAUGGUAGUGCAGAGAUCAUUAUCACAGCUCUCCACAGAGUUGAGGCACAGUUGGGUCAGCAAUGGUCUCAAAUAUCCCCUCCUACAAAGCCCAGACCUUUAUCUAGCCA
rnacentral:lncRNA from 1 species